UUUUCUUUCUUUUCUCUAUUCUUCUCCGCCGGAGACAAGACGCAGCUCUUCCACUUCCAAGCGUCUAUGUUCUUCUUCCUCAUCCUCUGAACCGUCUUCUUCGUCUACAUGCCCCACCAAGCGAUCUAAGGUCAAGAUCGAUGCCGCUAUUGAAUCUGUACGUUAGAUCCGAUUGAGAAUCAAGGACCGGUUUCGGAUUCAGGAUCGGAAUCCGGAGAGCCGGAGCUUGGAUCCUCUGAUCCAGAGAGUGUGACCAGAGACCAAACGAGGUUAGCUUUUUCAUUGACAAGAGUAAGGUUCAAAAA